rnacentral:tRNA from 1 species
GUGCACAGCUCAGUGGGUAGAGUCUUGCCUCCCAUGCACAAGGCCCUGGUUUGAUACCCGGCUCCACA